rnacentral:sRNA from 1 species
CCGACGCGGAUUACGGUGGCGGC